AUUGAACGCUGGCGGCAGGCCUAACACAUGCAAGUCGAACGAGUGGCGGACGGGUGAGUAAUGUCUGGGAAACUGCCCGAUGGAGGGGGCUAACUACUGGAAACGGUAGCUAAUACCGCAUACCAUCGGAUGUGCCCAGAUGGGAUUAGCUGGUAGGUGAGGUAACGGCUCACCUAGGCGACGAUCCAUAGCUGGUCUGAGAGGAUGACCAGCCACUCUGGGCAUGGGACACGGUCCAGACUCCUACGGGAGGCAGCAGUGGGGAAUAUUGCACAAUGGGCGCAAGCCUGAUGCAGCCAGUCCGCGUGUAUGGAAAAGGCCUUCGGGUUGUAAAGGACUUUCAGCGGGGAGGCGUUACCCGCAGAAGAAGCACCGGCUAACUCCGUGCCAGCAGCCUCGGUAAUUC
rnacentral:rRNA from 1 species